rnacentral:rRNA from 1 species
AUUGAACGCUGGUGGCGUGCCUAACACAUGCAAGUCGAGCGGUAACAGGUGUAGCAAUACAUGCUGACGAGCGGCGAACGGGUGAGUAAUGCUUCGGAAUCUACCCAAUGGUGGGGAAUAACCAGCCGAAAGGUUGGCUAAUACCGCAUACGUCCCACGGGAGAAAGCAGGGGAUCGCAAGACCUUGCGCCAAUGGAUGAGCCGAAGUCGGAUUAGCUAGUUGGAGGGUAACGGCCUACCAAGGCGACGAUCCGUAGCUGGUCUGAGAGGACGACCAGCCACACUGGGACUGAGACACGGCCCAGACUCCUACGGGAGGCAGCAGUGGGGAAUAUUGGACAAUGGGGGAAACCCUGAUCCAGCGACGCCGCGUGUGUGAAGAAGGCCUGCGGGUUGUAAAGC